UGUCCACAGUGACGGCGUUGGACGCACCGGGACGUACUGUCUGCUGGACCUGGUGCUGACCAGGAUGCUGAAAGGGGUCAAGGAACUGGACAUUGCUGCCACCCUAGAACACAUCAGAGAUCAACGUCCAGGCAUGGUCCAGACCCAGGCCCAGUUUGAGUUUGCACUCACCGCCGUAGUGGAAGAGGUCAACGCAAUCCUGAAGGCUUUACCUCAAUGACCUUCGACCUCCGCACCAGAGGUCAACCGUCCCUCCAAUGGAAACACGGGCUAAGUCUUCACCGGGUAUUUGAACCUACAACUCACUGACCAGUGUGCAAGGUGCAGUUACUGCAGAACCACAUAGUAUAAAGGCAUCUAGCACGCAUCGUCACAAAAAUUUUAAAAAAUCAGAUUAUUGUAUUCAUCCAAUGUGUUAAUUCUCAUCUUCUUAAAAAAUGUCUCAGACGGUAGUUGAAAUUUUUAUAAAUUCAAGGAGAAAUUGAAGCGAUAAUAACGUUCCAAUGCUCCCAUCUUACGAUAGGCAGGUAAAGUGGGGGCCAAAUCAAGCCCCCAUACUACCUUUCUUUGUGCAAUUUGUGUUGUUUUGUGAAUAGAUGUAAGAUGAUGAAUAUUGUACAAAAAAAAUACAAAUUAUAUGAAAAUAAAUACAGAGGCACUUAUUUAAAUUUUGAGAGCAAGAACUAUAAUUGUACAAGUUUGUGAUUCAACAGUGAUGCUGAGUGCACUGUGUUUAAAAAAAAGCAGAGUUUAGUUUUAAAAGCUUGAUUUCAUUGUGUUGACUAUAGGCCUAAAAAUAUGUCUUGUUUAGGGAUUGGUUGAAAUUUGUUGUCAAAUGCCCUUUAAAAAUAAACAUUCUAAGCACCUUAUCUGUCUUGUUCCCAGGUUCCCCACACACUAGUUCUUGUUGUGUGCUUUGAAUGUAGAUUUUGAUUAGUCUUAUGCAAGGACGCGGUAGCUCCAAAAUAAAUUUGAAUUUAGACCAAACCACAGCACUGCAUAAUGCACACACCAGAUGAUAAAAGAUAAAUUUUAUUUUGUGAUAUUAAUGUUCUCUUUUACUCGAGGUAAACAAAUGGAUUUAUCUAAGCAGUGUGCUGUUAAUGUACAUCAAUGAUCUUUGGGAGAUUCAUUUUUAUUUUAAGUCUCUAAGAAAACUGGGCUUAAGGAGAAUGGGGGGGGGGGGGCAACAAUGACUGUGAAAUGUGCAUUUUUAUCUAAAUUACUUUAUUCAAUAAUCAUGAUUAAAUUAUCAUCAAUCAUGUGCUAAUAUUAUAAGUCCAGCUACAGGACUCAAAUCAUGUUAUGCAAUAUCGCAGUUGAGGUCAUUGGAAUUGGAUUUAUCGUGUGUAUUUCAUCAAAGAUUGAAUAAUUAGAUUAUGCAAUUUCAUUCAAAAAUCAUCAAGGACAUUUGUUUUUAUUACAACUUAUUAAUCAUUCCUCUGUAUAUUUUGUAGCGCUCAGCUGCGAUUAUAAUCCAAUCAUUUAAUUCUAUAUAUUUAUUUUCUCGACAUUUGUAUUCCUUGGACUUUCUUUUUUCCUCUCGUUAUUUGUGUCUUUCCUUUGUGUGGAUGUGUAAUGUAUCUUGUUGAUGUAUUCUCUCAUGUAUAGUAACCUAUCUUCUAUUUCAUCUUCUUUGAUAUUCAGACAAUAAGAACUUGCCAGGGUAUAAAAAUGAGAUAUUAAUAUUUGUCAUGUGAUAUCCUGAUAUAACCAAUAAGAAUGAAUUAAAUUCAUCUGAGAUAUGAAUUCAUCAUACUGUCACUUUUUUCUUUUUUUUUCAUCUUUUGACUCUCUCAGUGAUCCAUAACUAUUCAAUAUUUGGUCAUACAUUAUUUUUUUUAAUGUACAGAUACGUCCAGAUUUUGAUAUAAGACAUCAUGGUGGGGUUUGAAUUGUUUAUUUUGCUACUUAUUUUACAUUUACGGUUUCAAUAAAUAUAUACCUUAAAAUUUAAAGUCACUACAGAGUUCAUCAAGAUUGUAGGAUAUGAUGAAGACUGAAAAGGGGAGUUAAUGGGGAUGAAGAUAGUCAAAGGAAUUAUGUUGAAGAUUGGAACUUUGUGGAAGAUGCAAUAUUGGUAAACAUUAAUUGUUCUAGUAAACGCUCACUUGCAUAAAAAAAUUUUGCAGCAUAGCAUGCUAUGUGGAUGAAACUAGGGUGGAUGGAAAAUACCCCCCCCUCUCCCCCCCCCCAAAAAAAGGGAAAUUGAUCCAAAAAUGGACUCUCAUUUGUAAAGCAUACAUGGCCGGCUUAAUGAGCACGAGCUGUCCGUGCUUUCACUUUUCAUUGUAUUUUCUUUGGACUAUACAAUAUUUGAAAAAAAAAGAAAAAAAAAGGCAUCCGUAAGUAGACUUUCAUACUUAACAGCAAACACAAAAAGGUAAAUGAGAGAAGGUUGCAACUAGAGACCUGUUUCAUAAGGACUUAAGAACUGUUGUAACUUUGCCAUCCAAUGGUAACUACUACGGUAAGAUGGCUCGUCAGCCAAUCACAAUCAUGGUUUCCACGGUCCUUACCAUAAUAAUAGCAAGUUACCACUAUUCAUUAAUGCAAUGCUUCAAGAAACGGACCCCAGAUUCAAAGAUAAACGAUGUGUUGCCAACUUGGUAUCGUCCCUUCCCAUCAUCCUCUCUGAUUCACCGAGGUCCGCGCUUUAUUUACGAGAGGAACCUCACCAGAUUACAUCUCACUAUCAAUCCGGGUUGUGUCCAUUUUAAGACGGGUGAGUCACGGAGGGAUUUAUGUCCAUGAAAUAAUAAAAGCAAUCUAUUAAUAUUUCACAUCAUGUUUAUUGUUGGGUGAAAACAAUAUUAUAGUCUAACUGCCAGGUAUCGGAUUACAGUCUAAUUUUGGUUAAGGAUGGUCUAGUUUGAUCCCUUGGGACCGGUCUAACAUCAAAUUAAUUCAACGGUCUCUUCAAUGCUCUGUAACUCUCUUGUGCAAUAUGAACUGUGUAUGAUAAUUUGUUGUUCAUGCUAUGAUUUGGUAACUGCUUUAUGCAGUACAUACGCAUAGCAACUUAAUCACUGAUGAACACGAUUCAGCUUGUGUGAUUUUGAAGAAAAAAUUGCAUAGUGUAAUCAAAUCUGAUUAAUUUCAUUAUGUGAAAAGGGUAGUCUAAGCUGAGUGACUUCUGAACCCACAGCUCCUCUGUUCUUUUGCAUUUUAAACCUUAUUAAUCAAAUCUGGUUACUUUUAUCAUCUAAACAGGGGCAUUCUAUUCUUACCCAUGUUUAGUAUUGUUUGGUCCAUUCAUAUUUAAAUGAUAAGCUUCACUAAGGAUCAUAGCUUUUGCAAUCACAUAAUGGUACACUUAAUUGGUAAUCCUGGUCUAAUAUUUUAACAAUAAUAGACAGAAAAGAAAAUUAGAAACUUAUGGAGGACCACAUUUUUAUUAUGAAAAUAUUCAUCAAUAUUUUAGGAUAUUAUGGCUUAGUGCUCUGCUUAACAAGCAGAAGUUCAGAAUUAAGACUGAUUAUCUCAUUAUCUUUUGACAGGGGGAUAUUUUGAUUUAUUACAAAGAAGAGUCCCUAAUUUCCCGCCUCCCCUCGCUUGGCCCAAUCUUAACUAAUUAUACUCAAUAUCCAUCUACUUCAUCCAAUUUAGUUUACACGGCUCCAUACUUUUAAAAAAUGUAUAAUAUUAAUCAUUUUUUCCUUCUCUAGUUGAUUAAUUAUCGCAAAAAAUGAAUUUACAUUAAGAGAAGAUAUUGAUCAAUAUACCAAGGUCACAACCAUGUAACUAUUGUUGAGUAACAUUUAGUCAUGACAGAAAUUACAAGACUUUAAAUGAAAUGCAAAUUCUUGCAUACUUAUUCGUUGAGAUUCUUGAUGAAGUAUUUCUUGAAUGUUUUUUUGCAAAGUAUUGUUAGUUAUGAAUAUUCAAUUCACUGCAUCUAGUACUUACACAAAAUAUGUAGAAAUAUAUUUAUGAAUAAGAUGGAAUCAAAAUAUCUACAAAUUUUAGGAUGAAAUUAAUAUUUGUCAGAGCUUAUAUUUUUAUCUAAAAGACUUCUUUCAUUUGUGUUUUUGUGUCAGAGGAUAGGGCUCGAAUAACAAAUGCCAACUCUAAUUUGUAAAAAAUCUGCCUCUUGUUGAACGUUUGUUUGAGCACACCAUGUGAAAUAAUUUUUGAAACAUGAAUGGUCAGAGAUUUAAGGAAAUACUUUGGUAAAAUGACAAUAAUUUUUAAAAACCUGGUGCCAGCUUGAUUGAUUAUAUUCAUCUCAAAAUAAUUACGGAGUAUUACUAUAAUCUAUUCUUGGUAUUUCACCUCUAUUCAUUCCAUCAUGUGUAUAAAUUCCAUUAUUUAUUGUCUCUUUCGAACUUUCUAAUAUCCUAUGAGUAUUUCUAAGAUUUUUGGUCAAUUUCACUCUUCAAACCUGCAGGAUUUUAGAAAAAAAAGAUGUUUGCAUGAAAUUCCUCUGCUGUUGCAACAACUAAAAAGAGAAAGAAAAUGGACGGGUACAACUGUUCUGCAUCUUUCCAGUGUCCAAUUUUUGAAAGUAUUGAAUUUGAUGCUUCAAUUUUUGUGUUCUAUGUGUAUAGUUUUUUGAAGAUGUGAAUAAACGGCAUGUAGGCAAUGAAUGUGAAGAAAA